UUCACCCCAAGGAUCUGCAGAACAAAAGGGUCAGAUGCUUAAGCUUUUGUUUUCAAAGGGCAAAGUCCAGAUUUAAUUAGUCUGCCUUAUUAACAUAAGGCUACCCUACAGCAAAAAUUGAACCAGAAAUGUCAGUAGCUCAGCAAAAACAAACUUAUUUGAGUUGAGCCUUCCUCCUCCAUCUUUUAGCAGCAUCAUUUGGAACACACAGCCUUGAAGGUCAGUGUAACAAAGGAAGAAAGAGAAUGAAGAGUUCACAUUCCAUCUAACAUUCUUCAGCCUGUAGAGUAUUCUGCUCAGGCUUUCAUAACAAGAUACCACAAACUGGAUCGCUCAAACAGCAGAGAUUUGUUUCUCACUAUUCUAGAGGCUAGAAGUCCAAAAUCGAGGUUGUCAGCAUGUAUAGUUUCUCCUGCGGCGUCUCUCCUAGACCUGGGCCUCCUUCCGUCCUCCUGUGGUCUUGUGUCUACUUGCACCCCUGGUAUAGACUGGACACCUUAAACUCAGGGGAAAGUAUGAUUGUCUCCACGGUACAAUGAAGAAAUCAAGGUGAAAAGAAGUCCCAAAGACAAGCUCAUGCUGCUAGUCAGUGGAAGCAUCAAGAUCAGAAGUCAUGUGACCUGACUUCCUGGGCAGUACCUUCCACUUAACCAGGAACUUGGGUAGAAAAUAAACAUUUAUAUCUUCA